rnacentral:rRNA from 1 species
CGUAAAGACGCAUGCAGGUGGUUUGUUAAGUUCAGAUGUGAAAGACCCGGGGCGUCAACCUCCGGAAUUAGCAUUUGUAAACUAGGCAGACUAGAGUACUGUAGAGGGGGGUAGGGAAUUUCUUAACGGUUAGUAGCGGUGAAAUAGCGUAGAGAUCUGAAGGAAUACCGGUGGCGAAGGCGGCCCCCUCGGACAGAUACUGACACUCAGAUGCGAAAGCGUGGGGAGCAAACAGGAUUAGAUACCCUGGUAG